AUUGAACGCUGGCGGCAGGCCUAACACAUGCAAGUCGAGCGAGCGGCGGACGGGUGAGUAAUGUAUGGGAAACUGCCUGAUGGAUGGGGAUAACUACUGGAAACGGUAGCUAAUACCGCAUACCAUCAGAUGUGCCCAGAUGGGAUUAGCUAGUAGGUGGGGUAACGGCUCACCUAGGCGACGAUCCCUAGCUGGUCUGAGAGGAUGACGAGCCACACUGGGACUGAGACACGGUCCAGACUCCUACGGGAGGCAGCAGUGGGGAAUAUUGCACAAUGGGCGCAAGCCUGAUGCAGCCAUGCCGCGUGUAUGAAGAAGGCCUUCGGGUUGUAAAGUACUUUCAGCGGGGAGGCGUUACCCGCAGAAGAAGCACCGGCUAACUCCGUGCCAGCAGCCGCGGUAAUUC
rnacentral:rRNA from 1 species